rnacentral:rRNA from 1 species
GUGUCAGCAGCCGCGGUAAUACGGAGGGAGCUAGCGUUGUUCGGAAUUACUGGGCGUAAAGCGCGCGUAGGCGGUUUUUUAAGUCAGAGGUGAAAGCCCGGGGCUCAACCCCGGAAUAGCCUUUGAAACUGGAAAACUUGAAUCUUGGAGAGGUCAGUGGAAUUCCGAGUGUAGAGGUGAAAUUCGUAGAUAUUCGGAAGAACACCAGUGGCGAAGGCGACUGACUGGACAAGUAUUGACGCUGAGGUGCGAAAGCGUGGGGAGCAAACAGGAUUAGAAACCCGCGUAGUCC